rnacentral:lncRNA from 1 species
AUGACUGCAGACCUGUGGACAGCGGGUCGGCCUUACCCUCAGUGGGCCCAGAGCACCCACAGACCUAACACUUGUAGAACAAGUUACUCACAAUCCAAGAUUCUACAGUAUUUGGUAUGUCCAACACCUGAGAACCUGUGUCUACUAAAUGAAGCAAUGUACAUGAAAUGUUAUAACAAACAGAAGCUUCCAUUUUGUUUAAUUGUCUGGAUUCUGGGAUUCAAAUUAUCCACAUAACUACAAAAAAUGCUUAUCACAUUUGACUCAAAAUAAACCCGGACAUCUUCUGAGGAAGCUGAUGUGGUCUGUGUCCUCUUUUCACUAAACUGUACUCAAGAGCCGUUCCAUGCACACUAGGAUGUAGGAGAGUGAGAUGCAACUACUCCUGAAGCACACAGAAGAGACUGACUGCUGGGUGUGGUGCUACACAAAGAGAAGAGCUUCAAUGAUCAGAAGCUUAUUUUUCAUGAACAGACCUGAAAAUGUGCAUUUAAAGAGGUGAAAUAUUUCCCUAAAGCCACAUAAUAAUGGACAAUCCUGGAUAGAAAACAGAUGUGUCUGUCCUUCCUGCUGGGGUCUCUUACCUGGCCAGGGAAAGCAUGGACUUGCUAUGCUGAGAGUCAGUGUGCCCCCCCCCGCCGGCAGAGGUACAGAGCCCAGCAGACAAUGGUGACAAGGAAGAGAAAGCCAUCAUAGGUUGGGUGGUCUGGAAAAGGCCAGAGGGCGAGAAAUGACUUUUUUGGAAGUAAGGGGGCAUUGGUGGUGUUCAUUAACCUGUAACAAAAGAGUGAAAAAGUCAAGACUCCAUUUUCCUAAGGAAAGCCUUCUUUUUGCCAUUCUGGGCAGAGAAGAACGUUCACGUUGUUUAGUGGCAAUGGCCUCCAGUGUCCUCACCAUUACAGCCGAGUGUGUGUUCAUUCUGAAAUCCC